AGAGCACUCCAGGCACCGGGAGCAGCAAGUGCAGAGGUUUAGACCAUUCUCAGCCUCCAAGCGGACUCGUCAUCGACAAAGAAUCUGAAGUUUACAAGAUGCUCCAAGAGAAACAGGAGUUAAAUGAGCCCCCCAAGCAGUCCACCUCAUUCCUGGUUUUGCAGGAAAUCCUGGAGUC